rnacentral:rRNA from 1 species
CAGUAUGAACGCUAGUGACAUGCUUGACACAUGCGAGUCGAACGUUUAUUAAGUUAGUUAUUAGGUAAUUAAUUUUGUAAAAGUGGCGUACGGGUGCGUAAUGCAUUAGAAUGAUGCCUUUUGAUUCCAUGAAGUAGCAAUACGAAUAUGGAAUAAAGUAAAAAACCUAGUGUUUUUGAAAAAAAGUUGUAAAACAGCUGUCAAAAGAUUUGCUAAUGUAGGCUCAGGUUGUUGGUGAGAUUAAAAGCCCACCAAGCCGAAGACCCUUAGUCGAUCUUAGCGGAUGAUCGGCCGCAAAGGGACUGAGACAAGGCCCUUACUUUUUUUAGGCAGCAGUGUGGAAUCUUGGGCAAUGGGAGCAAUCCUGACCCAGCAAUGUCGCAUGGGUGAUAACGGUCGUAACUUGUUACUGGUCGUAAAACUCUAUUAUUAAGGAAGAUAAUGACGGUACUUAAUUAAAUAGCUCCGGCCAAUCUCGUACCAGCAGCCGCGGUAAUACGAGAGGAGCUAGCGUUAUACAGUCAAACUGGGCGUAAAGGGUUCUUCAGCGAAAAGAUGUAAGAAAAUGACGAAAUUUUAGGGGGUAACUCUNAAAGUUAUUUUUACUAUCUUUUUAGAAUUAUAUCGGUGCUAAUGUUAUUCUAUCAAUAGAGUUAAAAUUCUUAGACUGAUAGAGGAGGAUCAAGGGCGAAAGCAGUUAGCAAGAUAUAAUUGACCCUUAGGACGAAACCUGGGGAGCGAUCGGGAUUAGAGACCCGGUAGUCCUGCCCUGACCGAGGGGGUUAAAUAAUUUACUUUAAGAUUAUUAAGCUACCGGGUAACCCCCUUCCCCUGAGAAGUACGCCCGCAAGGUUGAACCUCAAAGGAAUUGACGGGGGCUUUUUNCAANCGGUGGAACAUGUGGUUNAAUUCGAUGAUCCGCGCAAANCCUUCCCAGCCUCGACAAGGUGUUGCAUGGCUGUCGUCAGCCCGUGUCGUAAGAUGUGUCGCGCAAGCGCGUAACGGCCACAACCCCUUAACAGCUUUUGCCUUUAUUUUUUAAUCUUAUUUUANGAAUAUUUUUGAUAAAUAAUACUAUGCUGUAUGCUUUUAUCCUUAGAUAAAAGCUAAUUGGGGGAUGAGGUCAAGUCGUCAUGGCCCUUAUAGGCUGGGCUACACACGUGUUACAAUGGUAUUUACAAAAAGUAACUAUGAUGCAAAUCGGAGUUAAUCUUAUAAAAAUUACCUUAGUUCGAAUUGUAGGCUGCAACUCGCCCUACAUGAAGGCGGAAUCGUUAGUAAUCGUGGAUCAGCACGCCACGGUGAAUGUUUUGCGGCCUUGUACACACCGCCCGUCACGUCAGGGAAGUAACAUUGACUCGAAGAACUUGUUUUUUAUAUUCAGCUUAUUAUUAUCAUUAAAACUAGUUUUUAUUCUUAUUGCUUAUAUUGAAUAUGAAAAAGGUAUGACAGACAGGGUUAUAACCGUGAUGAAGUCGUAACAAGGUAGCCG